GAAAGAAGCCCAUCGUACAUGUAUAUAUAUAUAUAUAUAUGUAUCGUGCAUGUAUAUAUGUAUAUAUAUAUAUAUAUAUAUAUAUAUAUAUAUAUAUAUAUAUAUAUAUAUGUAUGUAUGUAUGUAUGUAUUUGUGUCUGGGUUUGUGUCCCCACCACCACUUGACAACCGACGUUGGUGUGUUUACGUCCUCGUAACUUAGCGGAUUGGCAAAAAACCCAAUAGUACAAGGCUUACAAAGAAUAAGUCCUGUGGGCUGUUCCUUUGACUAAAAAAUGCGGUGCACCAGCAUGGUCACAGUCAGAGUAAAAUAAAAUAAAAAACUAUAUGCAUGUAUGCAUUCAUUGUAUAGUUGGCAAGAAAAAAACUGUCAGAAUUUGCUUCUCUGAAACCUUCAUAGGUCUCUCCAAUGACGGUCUCAUGGCCGAAACCUCGAAGUUACUGUGAAUCCUUACUUUGUACGAAUAAAUAUUUUUAUAUUACUGAAUGAUUUUAAUUGGCCUUACGACUUUUACUUCCCGACUGUUUCUAUAUUCAUCUGUGUUUGUUUUUUGAGAUGUAUAUACAUAGUAUAAGUAUCUAUAAGUCCGUACUAAAUAAUAAUAAUAAUAAUAAUAAUAAUAAUAAUAAUAAUAAUAAUAAUAAUAAUAAUAAUAAUAAUAAUAAUAAUCCUACGCAGAACACUUUCCAUACAAUAACCAUCAGAGCAUCACAACAAAUCACAGCACAUACCCAAGGCACACAGAGCUGCGCUCGGUAGUGAAGUGAAAGCACGCUAUAAAAAUAAAACUACUGAAUAAUAAUAAUAAUAAUAAUAAUAAUAAUAAUAAUAAUAAUAAUAAUAAUAAUAAUAAUAAUAAUAAUGAUAAUAAUACCAUCGUAAAAUACUUUAAGAAUGAAAAUUCAGGUUCGGAAUUUCCCGAAGACACCUGAUGAAGGCUGGAGGGUAUAUCAGACGAAACGUAGCGUCAACAACAAACAAGAUGAGGACAAAUAUCCGUCAAAUGUAAAUAAUGUAAAUGAUGAACAUUGGUUUCAUGUUAAGAAAAAUAGGAAAGUAUGUUGAUACCUUAACAAUUUUUCAAAUGUCACUUAAGGGUAUGGUGUUCAUCUCCAUUUUGGAUAAACACAAUGCCUCGUUGAAAUAUAGCGAUAGUGAGCGAGAAGAAAAUAUGUCUACUUAAAAUUGGUGAGAUUAGUUUCCGUGUUAGUCUGAUGUAGGCGUUUUGUACUUGUAAGCUGUACGAUACGAUCAGCAAGAAAAGAUGAGAGUUGUACUUGGAAAGUGACUAAUAUUCUAGAUAUCAAAGUAAUAGGUUUGUCCUUUUUGAUCUUGUACCAGGAAAUAAUGGCAACAAAACUAACAUCGCAAUAACGAAAGUCAAAGGAUCGUUGAUAUUACGAAGAAUAAGGUUAAAAAGCUAAAUGUUUUUGAAAUAUUUCUAUCUAUUAAUGUAAAUGGCAGUGUGUCUUUUCUCGGUUUGUCCGUCUCUUGUGAAAAAUUUGCUCAGAUGUUUCUGGAUUUAUUUCCCGUGGUUACGAUAUACUAACUACAGAGCUACCUGCAAUAAGACAGAUAAUGUUGGGAAUAGUCAUUUACUCAGUAGGUAAUAUCAACUAACGCUACUUAUAUAAUUUAUUAAUGGCUAAACAGUAUUAUUCGUAUUGAUAAUAUAAUUUUAUUGUAAAUUUACAAACGAGGAACUUAUUUUACUUGAAUUUAAUAUUUAUUUUGAAAAUUACUAUUAAUUUCUUUACUUCUUAUAAAACCUUAAUAUUACAAUUAUAUAAAACUAGAAUUAUUGUACUUGUGAGACACUAUCUAAUGUUAGUUGCAGUAGCGAAAUAAUAAUUCCAAGGUUACUCAUCAUGUGACGGUCUACACGUUAGUCUAUAAUAUUGUUUCUAAUAUAUGCGCGAAGCCUGAAAUUUGGGUAGGGGACAAGACUGUGAAUCGACCCUAGUACUUUGACUAGGUACUUUAUUUUAUCGAUCCCAAAAGGAUAAAACGUAAUGUUGGCCCCGGCAGGAUUAAACAAAUUGAGAACGUAAAGAACCAAACGAAAGGCUGUUCAGCAAUUUGUGCGAUGCACUAACGAUUCUGCCUGCUUACUGCCUUACUCUCACAGAAAUAUCAAAAUUCAAACCUGUAAUAUUUCUGAGGAAUUUGUGAUGAUAAGAAUCAUAAUACUUUAAUGGUUAUGAUUGAUAAAACCACCUGUAAAUCGAUCUGUAUAUAAACUCUAUUACACAGUGUAUAUACACCAAACCGUUGCACAUUCUUGUAUAUUUAUUUAGUGAUUCUCCCAUUGCCACUUCGGUAAAGACGAUAACUUGUAUGCUUCGCUGAUAGGAACAGAACAAGAUCAAAACAUGGUCAGAAUAAUCUCCCUUACACGUUGAAAUAUAUAAAAUAAUUAAAACAACAUUAAUCAGUGAAGAAUAUUAUUUUACUUCAUCGCGUUAUUAUUUCUAAAUGAAUUAAAUAUGGUGACAUCUACUUAAACCUUGUUUUUCAUGCAGAUGAUGCUUGUUGCUGUUUGUUCCUUCUCGUACCAUGCCUGGCUCAUAAGGGGCCGGUUUCCUGGUUUUCUUGGCGUAUAGGUUCCCCACCGGAAUGGGACGCCGGUCCAUCGCAAGUGAGUUGCUAGAUGCAGGAGGAAAGAGUGAGAGAAAGUUGUGGCGAAUGAGUCGGCAGAAGUUCGCCAUUCCCUUCUGUUGGAGCCGCGUGGAGCUUAGGUGUUUCAUUCAUAAACACACACAUCGCCAGGUCUGAGAUUCGAACCCGCGAUCCGUCGACCGCGAGUCCGCUGCUUUAAACAUUAGACCAUGUGCCUUCACCAGGCAGAUGAUAUAGAAGACUAAUUUAGUAUUCUAAACAAUUAUGUCUUUGUUCUCCACUUGGUGGUAAUUAUUAAUGAUACCCCAUUACUACAUCUGUUAGCAAGUAUAAACUGAAUAGGCCAGAAUAAAGCCGAAAUAUAUAUAAAGUUGUUCCCUCUUUUUUGAGGAAAUAAUUGUUUCUAGUUUUCACACAAAGCCAGCAAUUUUAUGAGAAGAGUUUAGUCUCUUACAUCGUAGCUGACCUCAGUACUUGAUCGGGAGUAUAUUUUAUCAACCACAUGCUACAACAAAUACUUUAAACAAACACCGCCUCAUAGUAUAACAUAAUAUUAUAUAUAAUCUACUUAGCGGUUCUACAAAGAAACUAACGAAGUGCUAUAAUAACUUCAGAGCAAAGGAAAUAGAUAUCACAACUUAUGUGAAAUACAAAGACGAUUCUACGCCAAAAGGCGAGGUUUAAAAGGUCUUUCGGGAAUACAGAUGUAGACAUGGCGGGGCAAGAGACACUCGUAUGAUACCGUUGGGUAAAUGAUGAUGCUGCUGAUGAUAAUGAUAAUGAUAAUCUAUCAUAACUUCCUCCUCCUUCUUCAUCUUCGUUCUCUGUCUGUCUGUCUGUCUGUCUCUCUCCCCCUUUCUCCCUCUCUCUCAGUCUUGUUGUCAACGGUCAUUGCAAACGGAAAUCUCAUUUGUACGGAUGCCCAACAGCAUCACCAUUUCUUUUCUGUCUGUCUUGUAUUCACUCCUUAAAAAUUCCAAAUGCUGAAUGAAAAAACAAAACAAACCAUACAAAUAUAAACAACAACAAAAGCAAAAGAAAAAAUGCACACCCCGCUCCAAUCUGCACACGACCAUCACCCCCACGCGAUUCGGGUGCCAUUCUCCUAGAUGUUGCUAUCGUUUGCAUUCUCCUUCACUAGCUCACGCAACCAUCACCACCACACCAUCACCACCACCACCACCACCACCACCACCACCACCAACAACAACAACAACAACAACAACAUUGCUACCACCAUCACUGUCUACACUGCUACCAUAUCAUCAUCCCCACCAUCACCGUACCACCACCACCAAAACCAUCAACACUACUACCACUACCAGCACGGACACUAACCGGCACCACCACUGCCACCACCAUCACCACGACGACGACCACCACCAUCGACAGCAUCUUCGACCACCAGCAGCGCCACAUCACCACCAACGACAACACCUUCACCACCAUCCUGAAAAUGAUAUCCACCACCACCACGACCGCCACCACCACCACCUCACCACCACCACCACCACCACCACCAUUAUACGCUAACCAUUACCAAUGGUACACUCUCUAUCGAAUUACCACUAAUAGCACCCAUUAGUGGGAUCAACCUAUAACUUCUAACUAAAACUCUCGUUGCUAUGGCCGUUACUAAGGUAGUUUAGGGUAAAAAUUGCUUCUCUCCAAUCUCACGACUCUAUAUAUGUGCAUAUAUAUAUAUAUAUAUAUAUAUAUAAGAUGUAUCUAUGUUGAUAUAUGCCUAUAUAUAUAUAUAAUAUAUAUAUAAGGUAUAUGUAUGUACAUAUAUGCUUAUAUAUAUAUAUAUGUAUAUAUAUUUAUGUAAGUAUACAUGCAUACAUAUACAUACGUAAAAUGUAUAUACACAUAGACACACACACAUAUAUAUGUAAAUAUAAAUACAUGUAUAUAUAUAUAUACGUAAAAUAUAUGUAUAUAUAUAUAUAUAUAUAUAUAUAUAUAUAUAUAUGUAUGUAUGUAUAUAUAUGUAUGUAUAUAUACACACAAACACGCACACACAUACAUAUUAUAUGUGAUGUAAGUGUGUGUGUGUGUGUGUGUUGUAUUGUGUUGUCUGUGUGUGUAUGUGCAACAGCUACGAAAUUUUCUCCACGCACCCUACGGCCAAACAUUCUACAAGAGACACUUGAAAAUCAAUUUAGUUUAUAAGUAUAUCGUCCAUUUAUUUCCUUGUUUACUAAUAUAGAUUCACGCAUACACACCUACACGCACACACACACAUAUAAAUACAUACAUAUAUACUUACAUACAUGCAUAUAUAUACAUACAUAUAUAUAUAUAUAUAUACAUAUAUAUAUAUUUAUAUAAGUAGAUGUAACUGUAUACGUGUAUGUGUGUAUGCUUAUAAUGUAUUUUAGAGUUUCCUCAUACAUUUACACGUGUUUUUUUUUAUCCGAGAGUUUUUUUACUCGUUUUUAACAGUUAUUUUUUGUAUGUUUUUCUUCUGCUUUAUUUUCUUUUCUCCGUUUAUUCCUUGAUAACUCGUGUUCUAUUUUUGUUUUGUAUUCUCUUAUUCCUGUAAACUAAUGUUCUUAUUCUCCUGUUCGUCCAUAGUUAUGUGCCUAUUCGAGCAUCUUUAGUUUGUUAAUGUGAUUUGAGUAGCUCCACACACACACACACACACACACACACACAGCACAUUCAUACACAUUUGUAGAUAUACAUACGUAUACGCAUAACUACAUAUAUACAUACAAAUACCGAUACACACACACACACACACACACACAUAUACAUAUAUAUAAACGCACACAUACCUGGUAGAAAAUGACUCUAAUGAAUGCGUUCAUUUAUUCAAUGCAUACACACACACACACACUCACACACGCACACACACAUGUAUAUGUGUGCAUACCUAUUAUACGUACGUAUUACACGUAUUCACGUACAUAGAUUCGUGCAUACACAUGGACGUACACAUGCAUAGAUCUUAUAUACAUACAAUUAGAUAAACAGACACAAAUACGUACAUAUAACAAUCAGUGACAAACAUCCAUUCAUCCAUACACGAAUUCAUUCAUACGUAUAUACACAUACACACACACACGUACACACACACACGUACACACACACACACACACGUACACACACACACAUAUAUAUGUAAACGUUCAAAUCUAUUCUUUUAUUCUUUUCUUUUAUUUGUUUCAGUCGUUUGACUGCGGCCAUGCUGGAGCAACGCCUUUAGUCGAAAAAAAUCGACCCCAGGACUUAUUCUUUUGUAAGUCUAGUACUUAUUCUAUCGGUCUCCCUUGCCGAACCGCAAAGUUACGGAGACGCAAACACACCAGCAUUGGUUGUUAAGCGAUGGUGGGGGGGGGGGGCAAACACAGACGCACAAACAUAAACACACACAUACAUAUAUAUACGACGGGCUUCUUUCAGUUUCCGUCUACCAAAUCCACUUACAAGGCUUUGGUCAGUCUGAGGUGCCACGCACUAGGACUGAACUCGGAACCAUGUGGUUGGCAAGCAAGCUACUUACCAUACGGCCACUCCUAUUACAUAUAUAUUUACACAUGCUGACGUACAUACAUAUACAGAUACUUAUGUACAUACAUAGGUGCGUAUAUACGAAUAUGUGUGCAUAAGUAUACAUACAUAUAUAUACAGAAGUUCAAACGUGCAUUCACACAUUAAAAUAGGGAUCGGGGGCUCUUCUCGUUCCAUAUGCUUAUAAGGAACAUUUCGCCCGCAUUCUGCGAAGCACACAUUCCCCACCCCGGGUAGACAACGGCGGUCUGUUGCAAGGUUACUUAUUUUGCCUGUUGAGUGGACACGAACCACGGGAAUUGUAUUGUUUGGCUCAAGAGUACAACGCAUCACCCGGUCAGGAAUCGAAACUGCAAUCUUACUAUCAUGAGUCUAACACCCUAACCAUUAAGCGGCGUACCUCCACAUAGUCAUACCUAUUUACUUAGAAGACUGGAGGUAUUAACCACAAAUGUUGUCAUUUGUAAACACCCUGGAAAGAGCUCUAUACAAUGAUGGGGUAGGUCGAACAGUCUGGAAUAGAAUGGGAAGAAAAAUACUAUAUAACGAUGAAUAUAUUUAUUUCUUUAUUGCCCACAUGGGGCUAAACAUAGAAGGGAUAAACAAGGACAGACUGACCCCAGCGCGUAACUGGUAUUUAUUUAAUUGACCUCGAAAGGUUGAAAGGCAAAGUCAACUUCGAUGGAAUUUUAACUCAGAACGUAAUGGCAGACAAAAUACCGCUAAGCACUUCGCCCAGCGUGCUAACGAUUCUGCCAGCUCGCCGCCCUAUAACGAUGAAUAUAUUGAGAACGUUGGAGCGAAAGGAUAUUAGUGGAAUCUAAGAAUAAAAGCAGUAACUAUAUUAAAACAUAACUGACUUGAUACUGUUGUCAGGAACCAUAAAAGCGAUAAGUUCCAUUGUGGGAAUCAACAACCGGCAUCACACUAAUAUGGCGACAAAAAUACAAGGGCCAUCGAUGAGGAGUUGGUAAAUCCAGUUUUGAAAAUAACCGACCAGGACUCCAAGGGAUUGGGUGGUUCCUGUUGUUAUUCGCUAAAUUAAUUUAAGAAAAGAAAAACAGAAUUUUGGAAAAGAAUGUUAGAAAUCUUUUUUGUUUGUUUGUUGCUGUUAUUUUUCUAUUUAUGUGUUUUAUUUUUUAUUUACUUUCUCACACUAUAUUGCCCUUGCCUUCCUCGGUGGUUUUGUCAACCCAUUUGGGUUAAAUAAAGAAAAACUACUACUACUACUACUACUACUACUACUACUACUAUUACUACUACUACUACUACUACUACUACUACUACUACUGUUGCUGCUGCUGCUAAGGCGGCGAGCUGGCAGAAUCGUUAGCACGCCGGGCAAAAUGCUUGGCGACAUUUCGUCCGUCUUUAGGCCCAGAGUUCAAAUUCCGCCGAGGUCGACUGUGCCUGUCAUCAUUCUGGGGUCAAUGAAAUAAGUACCAGUUGAAUGAUGGGGGGGGGGGGGGUGCGAUGUAAUCGAUUAUCCCUCUCCUCCAAACUUGCUGGCCUUGUGCGAAAAUUUGAAACCAUUAUUAUUAUUAUUAUUAUUAUUAUUAUUAUUAUUAUUAUUAUUAUUAUUAUUAUUAUUGUUAUUAUUAUUAUCAUUAUGUUUUCUUUCCACCUUAGCUUCGAAGUCCCAAACAUAAAACAUAGAACUACUCUUACGCAAAACUAACAUAAGAUCCAAUUAGUUCCAUAAAGUAACUGUCGCCCCCACAUAGAAAAAACAACCCCUCCAAAAACAGUCUCUAGAAUCACAUUACACACACACACACACACACACACACACACACACACACACACACACGUGCGCGCAUACAUACACACACACACACACACACACACGUGCGCAUACACACACACACAUGAAACACAGUGGUUUACUCGUAUAACCGGUCAUCUUUUCUAAUCGAAUUACGCACUUAACGAGGUCGAAAGUGUUGAUCGUUCAGUCAACAUCACACCAAAUGAUCUCAGUAGAUAUUUAGCAAACACUGGAAGCUGAUAAAGGUCUGCCGUUAAAAUUCGCCCUAAAAACCGCCCCAAGAAGGGAAAUCUCUUGGUCAUUAUCAAUUAGUUGGCUGUUUAAAUGUCGAAAAUAUCGAUUAUUUAACUUUCUCUCCGACUGAUCAUUUCGUUAGUGCUUCGUGUUGACCAAUCAUCGUAAGUAGGACUAAUUUGGUAUCCGACCAACGAACGAGACAGAUUCUAACAUGCUAUCUCGAAUGGCCUGCAUGCUAGAAAUAACAGCUAAAGAUUUCUCUCAAAUCCUCACUGCCAACAGUUUGUGCCACAACAACGACAACUACAAAAACAACAACAACAACAACAACUACUACUACUACUACUACUACUACUACUACUACUACUACUACUGCUGCUGCUGCUGCUGCUGCUGCUAACGCUACAAUUAUUACUUUACACUUAUAAAGGUAAAAUUAUGCAGUCAUCCAAGAUGGUAGCACCAUUGUAUCUUAGGUAGCAUAAUCCGAAAGCCAAGAAUUAAGGUACUCCAAUAAUUGAGUACCUCAACGAAGGUACUCUAAUAGUUAAGUGAAUUGGCUGAGUAGAGGUGGGAAAUUGCGAAUUCAUCUCUCUUGCAACAGCUUUUUGUUGGUUCUUUCUCCAUAAAUGGUUCGGGGUUCAGUGCCAUUGCGUGGCACCUUCGGCAUGUGUCGUCUAAUAUAGCUGCGGGCAGACCAAAGCUUUGCGAGUGGAUUUGGGAGACGGAAACUAAAAGAAGCCCGUAGCAUAUAUACAGGGUGUUUCAAAAAUUUGAUAUCAUUUCGCAAUCUAAUAACUUUGCCUGUUCUUGUUCAAAUGACUUCAAAUUUUUACAGCAAAUGUAGAAAGUUUAUGUCUAAUGUUUGAUGUGUUUAUCUUUUCAGGUACAGAAAUGGCAUUCACUGGAAGAGAAAAGGUGUUUUGUGUGUUGGAGUAUGCUCGAACACAGCCAAACGAGACUGUCCAGCGUGCAUUUGUGAGAGAUUUCUCUAAAAAGUCACCCACGGAAAUACAGAUUUGAACAUGGAACAAAAAAUUCAAAGAGGAAGGCUGUCUGUGCAAGACAAAAGGAUCUGGACGAGCAUUAACAUCGGAAGAGACGGUCGAGCGGGUUCGCCAGAAACUCUUGCGAAACCCCAAGAAGCCCAUAAGAAGAA
rnacentral:lncRNA from 1 species